CAGGGAGGUCGGCAACGACCACCCAGGGCCGGAAAGUUGGUCAAACUCGGUCAUUUAGAGGAAGUAAAAGUCGUAACAAGGUCUCCGUAGGUGAACCUGCGGAGGGAUCAUUA
rnacentral:rRNA from 1 species